rnacentral:lncRNA from 1 species
AAAACUAUAUAUUUAACGUCAUAAAACAUAUUCAGUAAAAAUGAAAUCAUAACUUGAGUGACCUUUAUUACAGAUUUUAUGGAACGGCGUACGAAACGUACUUGUACACCGGGUGUAGGAGGCAACGAUUCCCCACACAGGAGCAUCUCACUUCUCACGCACGCGAAAACACGUGGUUCCGUUGGUCGGUACACCGUGCUGUUGUUGUCGUCCGCAUAGACAAGUUACUAUGCGGUCGAGUACGCUCCUCGACGCUUUGGCACACCUUAUCCGUACAGGGUUUGCUCAUGCUCACAAAAACAUUCUACAAUGGACGAAUUAUAUUACCGAUACAAUUUUUUUAGUCAAUAAAAUUAUUUUUUUUUAGUUUACUCGUUUUAUCAUAAUUAAUAAAAAAUAUUUUAUUAUAUUUUUAAAAAAUAUAUAUAAUUAAUAGUAAUAAUACGAUGCAAGUGGAAUAUUGUAGACGUUCUCUGUGCUCACCUCCGGAUAAACAGGGUCCGGCGGUUGGACCAUUGACUGUCACUUCACCACCCCAACUCCCAAUCUGAGUCGUCUGAGUGCUGUAGAGGGCAUCCUGGCCGUUCGUCUCGCCUGACGCAUUUUGUACUCGGGCGAAAUAGCAUAAAACUCAAAUUGAAUUCGACUAUUUCACCAACCAUCCUAAAACAAGUGGAAAAGGACUUAAUAGUCGGUAUCCGAGAUUCCAAAUUCGAAUCACAGUUGAUUCACAUUUCUAACUAGGUUUAUUUCUAAAAAAAAUAAAUAAAGCGGGUAACGUGCUACCUAUCUCUCUCAAAAAAAAAAAAGUCAUAAAACUUAUGAAAAAGGGUUUAAAUUUA